UACGUAGGGUGCGAGCGUUAAUCGGAAUUACUGGGCGUAAAGCGCACGUAGGCGGAUUUGUAAGUCAGGGGUGAAAUCCUGGAGCUCAACUCCAGAACUGCCUUUGAUACUGGGAGACUUGAGUCCGGGAGAGGUGAGUGGAACUGCGAGUGUAGAGGUGAAAUUCGUAGAUAUUCGCAAGAACACCAGUGGCGAAGGCGGCUCACUGGCCCGGUACUGACGCUGAGGUGCGAAAGCGUGGGGAGCAAACAGG
rnacentral:rRNA from 1 species